GAAAUGCGAUAAGUAAUGUGAAUUGCAGAAUUCAGUGAAUCAUCGAAUCUUGAACGCACAUUGCGCCCCCUGGUAUUCCGGGGGGCAUGCCUGUUCGAGCGUCAUUACGCACCCUCAAGCCCGGCUUGUGUGAUGGGCCCCGGCGUCUCGUUCGCGAGACGGGCCCGAAAGGCAGCGGCGGCGUCGACCCGAUGAGCCCGAGCGUAUGGGGACUUCUGUCACACGUUCGCGGUGCGGACCGGCGCCUGCUUGACUUUUCUGAUUAUCCAGGUUGACCUCGGAUCAGGUAGGGAUACCCGCUGAACUUAAGC
rnacentral:misc_RNA from 1 species